rnacentral:rRNA from 1 species
GAUGAACGCUGGCGGCGUGCCUAAUACAUGCAAGUCGAGCGAACGGACGAGGAGCUUGCUCCUCUGAUGUUAGCGGCGGACGGGUGAGUAACACGUGGAUAACCUACCUAUAAGACUGGGAUAACUUCGGGAAACCGGAGCUAAUACCGGAUAAUAUUUUGAACCGCAUGGUUCAAUAGUGAAAGACGGUCUUGCUGUCACUUAUAGAUGGAUCCGCGCUGCAUUAGCUAGUUGGUAAGGUAACGGCUUACCAAGGCAACGAUGCAUAGCCGACCUGAGAGGGUGAUCGGCCACACUGGAACUGAGGCACGGUCCAGACUCCUACGGGAGGCAGCAGUAGGGAAUCUUCCGCAAUGGGCGAAAGCCUGACGGAGCAACGCCGCGUGAGUGAUGAAGGUCUUCGGAUCGUAAAACUCUGUUAUUAGGGAAGAACAAAUGUGUAAGUAACUGUGCACAUCUUGACGGUACCUAAUCAGAAAGCCACGGCUAACUACGUG